CUCACAUUGUUUCCUAACAAAUUACAGAUAUCCUGUAAAUAAGCACACAUCACCAACUGCAGCUGGGAAUGGCGUUCAGACUGCAGGGCUGGUCUACAACUUUUCCUGGGCAGAACUGCCUGAAAUGCCUAUAAUACUGGUUCACUACAUGGACUCCCUUUUAUUUGUCCAUCAUAAUUGCUAAAGAAAGAAAGACUUUUCUUUUUUUUUUUUUUUUUUUUUUUUUUGCAAUAGAAGUACAAAUGAAGAAUCAGUUCCAGUUGCCAUCAACAUAUUUUCUCCUUUUCCCUGAUACAUCUUGGCACGUGGCCCUGGCAGCUCAUGGUUUAGACAUGUACUCUUCAUCAGGUAAAAAACUGGUUGGAUGGCUGGGCCCAAGGAGCAC
ensembl:lncRNA